UCGAACCACGCGGGAAUCGAACCCCGGCGUGUACCGCGCGAGAGUACGCCGAUACCGCUACACUACGGGUGU